GAGGAGAGGAGCUGGUCCUAGUCCUGCUUCAGGGGUGGAGAGGACCUGCAGGGACCAGCCUGGAUCUGGAGGACCUUUCCUGAGAUGCCUGGACAGUCAGGAUGUUCUCCCCUCUAGAACAAUUCUUUUCUGCUUUUGAGUGAAUGGCCAAGGAGAGUUUGCUUCUUGGACCUGUCAUCCAUUAGCAGCUGAGCCAAUCACACUCCUGCAGUAUUCUUGGGAAGAGGAAGAAGCACAUGAAGGAAUCGCAGCAUCUUUUGAGGUGCUGGAAGCAAAGAAUGCUGUUCUAUUGACAGCAAGGAAUGCUGGGAGCUGAGCAAUGAUUCUGACUCUACGGUUAGUUGUAGAAGUUGGCAAGUCAUGCCAAGAGUGAUCAUGACCCUUGCCUUUAUACCUUCUUAUUCCUUUCAUGUGCUCCAUCUUCAUGACCUGC
rnacentral:lncRNA from 1 species